rnacentral:tRNA from 1 species
GGGGGGUUUCCCGAGUGGUCAAAGGGGACGGACUGUAAAUCCGUUGGCUAAGCCUUCGCAGGUUCAAAUCCUGCACCCCCCA